GACGAACGCUGGCUUCCCUGCUUACACUUGCCUGUCAAACCGAAAGGCCCUGAUUGCAUGGUACUCAAGUGGCGAACGGAUGACUAACACCUGUCUGAUCUGCCAUGCUCUUCCCGAUACGCCUGUUAAACUGGCUCUAAUACCAGAUAUGAACCAUUUUUAAUGUGAUGGUUGUAAAGUUUUUUCGGAGUAGGAUGAGCUCGCGCCCUAUCCCCUUGUUGCUGCGGUAAUGUCCUACCAAUGCCCCACACAGAUGAUCCGGCCUGAUAGGGUGGACUGCCACUUUGUGCACUGAUAUACCGCCCAUACUCCUACACGAGGCUAGACAGAGGGCAAUAUUGCACUGUGGUCACAAUCCUGAUGCAACUACUCCGCCUGUGGGAUGACCGCCUUCUGGCUGGACACUCCUUUCGCUAUCGACGAAGCUUUUUGUGACCCUACCUAUAUAACAAUUGCGCGGUAACUACGUGACUCCAUUCACGGUUAUACUUACGACGCGACUCUUCACCCGAAUUACUGCACGCAUUAGCCUCGCAAGUGAUUUGUCGCGUCGUCUGUGAAUUCCGGGGGCUAACUACCGGGUGCGCAGGCGAUACGGGCAUAACUUGAGUACUGUAGGAGUAUCUGGACAUUCGUGGUGUAGCGGCGAAAUGUGCUGAUAUCAGGAGGAACACCGAUGGCGAAGGCAGGUUAAUGUGCAGUUACUGACGACGAGGAGUGAAAGCAUGGGUAGCGAACAGGAUUAGAUACCGUGGUAGUCCAUGCCGUAUACGGUGGACGUUAGGUUUGAGGGUCUUUUCACGACCUUUGUGUCGUAGCUAAGGCAUUAAGCGCCGUGCUUGGGGAGUACGUCCGCAAGAGUAAAACUCAAAGGAAUCGUCGGGGGCCGUCACAAGCGGCGGAGCAUGUGGACUAAUUUGUUGCAACGGGAAGAACUUUUUUUGGGCUUGACAUACUUCGUAUCGGGCUAGAGAUAGUCUUUUCAUUUGUGGCUGCUGUACAGAUGGUUCAUGGUUGUCGUCAGCUGGAGUAGUGAGAUGUUGGUUUAAGUCCCGCAACGAGCGCAACACCUUGUCUGAUGUUGCCAGCAUUGUGUUGGGGAGUCAUGAGAGACUGCCGGGGUCAACUAGUAGGAAGUUGGGGAUGAGGUCAAAUCAUCAUGCGCAGGAUGUCCAGGGUUUUACUCAGGGUACAAUGGUUGGUACAUCGUGCAGCGACACUUGUAGGUGGAGUGAAUCGUUGAAAGCCGGCUAUAGUUCGGAUUGGGGUCUGUAACUAGACACCAAGCAGUCGGAGUCGUUAGUAAUUGCAGAUCAGAAGCGAUACGCAGAAUACGUUGCCCGGACUU
rnacentral:rRNA from 1 species